GCGGGGCCGAGGGCAAAGGGCCCAGGAGUGGAUUCUGACAAGGCGGGAAAAUGGAAAGGCCUGGCCGGUCCCAGGGGGCCCUAGGAGAGUACCUGGCUGGGCUGGGGUGGCCGCCAGUUUCCCGGGCUGCAGUGACAGUGUGCGCUUCCCGAGGUGCUGCUCUCUCACAGAGCCGCCCCUCCCCCGAAUGGCUUGGAAAGCACAUCCCUAGCUCCUCCCCACAUCCUAAAUUUUUAUUUUGCGUCUAGCUUAUUUGCUAAAUUGUCCACACCAGGCUCCAGCUUGUCAUCUUCCUGCCUCAGCCUCCCAGACUACUAAGCUAACAGACGCGAGCUACCAUGCUAGACUGCUUCAUUGAAAUUUUGUAGAAAUUGCCGGGGAUUUAGCUCAGUGGUUUCGCCGCCUGCUGCGCAAGCUCAAGGACCCGAGUUCGGUCCCCGGUACCAAAAAAAAAAAAAAAAAAAAAAAGAAAGAGAAAUUUUGUAGAAACUAAAGUCAGUGUGUGUUGCAGAGAAAAAUGGACGUCAGAAUCAGUCAAACAGAAACAAUGAAGGAGGGGCUGCGUAGUGACUCAACCCGGUUACUCCCAUCACCAGAGAUGGAGGCAGGAGAAUCACUGCAAAUUUGGACCGCCUAGAAUACAUUGAGAGACCCUGUCUUGAAAAUAAAACCAAAACCAGGAAUGCUUGAGCCUUUCAUUCCACAGAUGAAAACCCAGCACUUUUACGACAUCUGUGAUUCCAUUUGUUUUUCCUUCCACUGUCCCAGAGGCCUCGCAGCUGCAUUCAGAGGAAGAGGUCACAAGGCUGAUGUGCAGUGCUUUUCAGCUAAGCAGGAGUUGCUCCAGACCCUCCCUCAGAGUGAUCGCUGUUGCCUCCUUCUGUGGACAAAUGGAAAGUUCCUGGAGGAUGAGUGUAGAAGACAGGGAAGAACAGAGGAAGGAAGGAAGGAAGGUUGAAAGUGGCUUCCAAGGGGCCCUAGCCUCCUUCGGCAUCGGCCUUGUUUUCUCUCUGUUUUGGUCACUGCCAUGGUGGCCACUAACAUCUAGGUCUUCAUCUUCUUACAGGUAUGCACUAAUCUAAUCUCAUACCUGACAUACUGAACUUCAAUACCCACUUCAUUAUUCUUUCUCCAUCCAUUUUUAACUCAAGGGGCUAAAUAGUCUUCCUCAAGCCUAGAAGAAUCACAGAAUUUGAGAUACUGAAAGAUAUUUCAGAAGAUGCAUCCAGGAGCCCAAUCUAUUGUAGUUGAGAAGAUAAACCCAAAAAGUGAUAUUACUUAUUCAAAGUUAAAUAAUGAAUCUACUGCACCCUGAUCUGCUAAGUUAUCUCUGUUGUUCCUCUCCACUGACUGAUCCAACCCAGACAGGAUGGGUACAUGCAAUAAUCUCAGAAUUAGCCAGAGGUUGGAAUCCAUCAUGGAGCUCUGAGAAGAAGCUGCUGCAGCCUCACUGCCUCCUUCACUUCCCGUGAAAACCUUGCAUGCUCUGGAGCCUGGUGAAGAUGGAGCUUUGAGGAGCCUGCCCAUCUGUCUUCCUCAGGGCUGGCCUGGAAUCCACCUCAGUGUUUUCUACCAAUACUGGUCUUUCGAAUAUUGGUACUGGAGAGGCAGGCAGCCUAGACCUUUUGUUCCAGUAGGAAUGGGUUCAGAUUGCUUUGCACUCAUGCCUGGCACCUGGCUCCAAUGGCUUGGAGGUAGCUGGAACAGUUUGAGAUCAUGUGAGUGUUGGUUCUCACUGUCAUCUGGGUUCUUUCAUUGUUCAAUAGGUAGAUUCAAGACUUGUCUCCAGAUGGCCUUUCCACACUGUCUCCUUGGAGGUACAGGCUGACUUCUUACACACUUUCCCCAGGCUCUCAAGAGGAUUAGGCUUGAAACUAGCACACUGUCACUUCUUCCAGUUCUGUC
rnacentral:lncRNA from 1 species